GAUGAACGCUGGCGGCGUGUUUUAGGCAUGCAAGUCGAACGGAUCUGAUGACCGCAAGGAAGUCAGAUUAGUGGCAAACGGGUGCGUAACACCCUGGUAACCUACCUUAAAGUUCAGGAUAACUCGCCGAAAGGCGGGCUAAUACUGGAUGUGAUUGUUUGUCGCAUGACAGACAAGGAAAGUCGCAAGACGCUUUAAGAGGGGCCUAGGUUCCAUCAGCUAGUUGGUGAGGUAAUGGCUCACCAAGGCUACGACGGAUAGGGGGCGUGAGAGCGCGACCCCCCUCACUGGGACUGCGACACUGCCCAGACUUCUACGGAAGGCUGCAGUCGAGAAUCUUCCCCAAUGGACGAAAGUCUGAGGGAGCGACGCCGCGUGUAGGAAGAAUCCCUUCGGGGUGUAAACUACUUUUUUACGGGACGAACACUGACGGUACCGUAAGAAUAAGGGGCUGCUAACUCUGUGCCAGCAGCAGCGGUAAUACAGAGACCCCGAGCGUUAUCCGGAUUUAUUGGGCGUAAAGCGUCUGUAGGCGUUCCGUCGCAUCUUUGGUUAAAUCCCAGGGCUCAACCCUGGACCAGCCGGAGAGAUGAGCGGAAUGGAGGCCGGGAGAGGUAAGCGGAAUUGCCGGUGUAGUAGUAAAAUGCGUUAAUAUCGGCAAGAACACCAAAGGCGAAGGCAGCUUACUAGAACGAGCCUGACGCUGAGAGACGAAAGCGUGGGGAGCGAAUGGGAUUAGAUACCCCAGUAGUCCACGCCGUAAACGAUGGAUGCUAGGCAUUGGCAGUAUCGACCCUGUCAGUGUCGUUUAACCAAGGUAACCCCUUAAGCAUCCCGCCUGGGGAGUACGAGCGCAAGCUUAAAACUCAAAGGAAUUGACGGGAACCCGCACAAGCGGUGGAGCAUGUGGUUUAAUUCGACGAUAAACGAAGAACCUUACCAAGGUUUGACAUGCUAGGCGUAUCCCGGAGGAAACUCUGGGGGACCGUUAAAUCGGAUCCUAGUACAGGUGCUGCAUGGCUGUCGUCAGCUCGUGUCGUGAGAUGUUGGGUUAAGUCCUCCAACGAGCGCAACCCCUAUGUUGUGUUACAUUUCACAACAAACUGCCUGGGUUAACCAGGAGGAAGGCGGGGAUGACGUCAAGUCAGCAUGGCCCUUAUAUCUUGGGCCACACACGUGCUACAAUGGGGUGUAACAAUGGGGCGCAGAGCCGUGAGGCGAAGCAAAUCCCACCAAACCACCCCUCAGUUCGGAUCGCAGGCUGCAACUCGCCUGCGUGAAGCUGGAAUCGCUAGUAAACGCGCGUCAGCUAAAGUGCGUUGAAUACGUUCUCGGGUUUUGUACACACCGCCCGUCACGUCAAGAGAGUCGGUAAUGCCCGAACUCCGGUGUAUACCGGGGGAAGGCAGGAUCGAUAAUAGGACG
rnacentral:rRNA from 1 species